rnacentral:rRNA from 1 species
UACGUAGGGUGCAAGCGUUGUCCGGAAUUAUUGGGCGUAAAGAGCUUGUAGGCGGUUUGUCGCGUCUGCUGUGAAAUUUCGGGGCUCAACCCCGAACUUGCAGUGGGUACGGGCAGACUAGAGUGUGGUAGGGGAGACUGGAAUUCCUGGUGUAGCGGUGAAAUGCGCAGAUAUCAGGAGGAACACCAACGGCGAAGGCAGCACUCUGGGCCGGUACUGACGCUGAGGAGCGAAAGCGUGGGGAGCAAACAGG